GUAAGUAGUCAAACCGUUUAAGAACAGUUUGACAACUUACCUGGGAACUGCUGGGAUAUAGGGCAUAGGAGCAGUGGUAUGUGUGAAGGUGUGUGAGGGCAGCAGUGUAUGUCAGGGUUGCAGUGUGUGUGUUAGGCGUCAGUUGUGUGUAGGGCACUGUGUGUGUAUAGGUGUGCAGU